GAACACUGCCAGGCUUCAAGUGUUGGCCGUCGGCACCGGGCCCCUCUCAACACCGAAAGGUGCCGGCUUCACGCUGUGGGUGGGCACUGUGGGUGCGGGGAGGAUCUGAGCAGGGCCCGUCCGAGCGAGCGACAGAGAGAGGAGAGGGAAGGAAGCCUCCCCACCUCCCAGACAGGCCCAGCCCAGGGGACGUCGGGGUGGCCGUGGGGACCUGGGUGCUGUCCCCAUUCUCCCAGACAGGCCUGGCCCAGGGGACGUCGGGGUGGCCGUGGGGACCUGGGUGCUGUCCCAUUCAGAGAACCAGGCUGGGCCCAGGGGACGUUGGGGGGGGGACGUUGGGGUGGCCGUGGGGACCCGGGUGCUGUCCCCAUUCUCCCAGACAGGCCUGGCACAGGGGACGUCAGGGUGGCCGUGGGGACCAGGUGCUGCCCCACUCAGAGAACCCGGGUGCUGUCCCCAUUUUCCCAGACAGGCCUGGCCCAGGGGACGUUGGGGUGGCCGUGGGGACCCGGGUGCUGCCCCACUCAGAACCAGGCUGUGGCUGUGCACGCGGUGCGUGAGGAAGGGCAGCUGAGAGUGACGGGAGGCCACCUGCUGUGCCACGGGGGUCAGCGGAGGCCCAGCUGGACGUGCAGACCCUGCCACAGCCAGGCCGGCUCCCCGCCCUGUGGGCCCACGCCGGGCCGUGCAGGACGCUGGCUCAGGGUGGGGCGGGGGCUGGCGUCUCCGGCUGGGUUGGUGACAGCCACCAAGAGCCUGGUGGCCUUGGGGGUCCACACUGCUCCAGAUGAGCGAGUCAGAGUCCACUCAGGCCUUGGCUGCCCAGGGACCUCCCAGCGUGGACCCCUCCUGCCAGUCUCCCAGGAACAAGGGCCUUCAGCACACACACGGCACCCACCCUCGUCACGUCAGACACACGACAUGGGAGCUCCCAGCCCUGCAGAGCCACACUCGGACCCAUGUGUGCAGAGUGUGUGUGUGGGCGGGGGUUGCGUGUGUCUGUGUGUAUCAUGCGUGUUGUAUGCUGCUGCCAAUAUGCUCGCAUGUGCAUGGCUGUGUAGUCACAUACAUGCGCGUGGCAGCAUCACAUGUCCAUGUGCACGUGCCUGCUCAGGUGCUUGUGUGUGUGUACACAGCCAUGUCUGUGCGUGUGUGUGCACAGCCAUGUGUGUGUGCGUGUGUGUACACAGCCAUGUGUGUGCGUGUGUGUGCACAGCCAUGUGUGUACAUAGCUGUACAUGGCUGGCAUUGCAUGUGUGUGCAUGUGCGUGUGCCCUGGCAUGUGUC
rnacentral:lncRNA from 1 species